rnacentral:rRNA from 1 species
UACGGAGGGGGCAAGCGUUAUUCGGAAUUAUUGGGCGUAAAGGGCGCGUAGGCGGCUAGAUGUGUCAAAGGUGAAAUCCCUCGGCUCAACUGAGGAACUGCCUUUGAAACUGUCUGGCUAGAGUCCGGAAGAGGAGAGUGGAAUUCCUGGUGUAGCGGUGAAAUGCGCAGAUAUCAGGAAGAACACCCGUGGCGAAGGCGGCUCUCUGGGACGGUACUGACGCUGAGACGCGAAAGCGUGGGGAGCGAACAGG